rnacentral:rRNA from 1 species
UACGGGGGGUGCGAGCGUUGUCCGGAAUCACUGGGCGUAAAGGGCGCGUAGGUGGUUUGAUAAGGGUGUGGUGAAAGUCCGGGGCUCAACCCCGGAUCUGCCGUGCCGACUGUCAAACUCGAGGACUGGAGAGGAGACUGGAAUUCAUGGUGUAGCAGUGAAAUGCGUAGAGAUCAUGAGGAAGACCAGUGGCGAAGGCGGGUCUCUGGACAGUUCCGUGACACUGAGACACGAAGGCCAGGGGGGAGCAAACGGG